AGCGAACGCUGGCGGCAGGCCUAACACAUGCAAGUCGAACGAAGCCUUCGGGCUUAGUGGCGGACGGGUGAGUAACACGUGGGAACGUACCUUUAGGUUCGGAACAACUCAGGGAAACUUGAGCUAAUACCGGACAAGCCCUUCGGGGGAAAGAUUUAUCGCCUUUAGAGCGGCCCGCGUUAGAUUAACUAGUUAGUGAGGUAAAGGCUCACCAAGGCUACGAUCUAUAGCUGGUCUGAGAGGAUGAUCAGCCACACUGGGACUGAGACACGGCCCAGACUCCUACGGGAGGCAGCAGUGGGGAAUCUUGCGCAAUGGGCGAAAGCCUGACGCAGCCAUGCCGCGUGAAUGAUGAAGGUCUUAGGAUUGUAAAAUUCUUUUACCAGGGACGGUAAUGACGGUACCUGGAGAAAAGGCCCCGGCUAACUUCGUGCCAGCCGCCGCGGUAA
rnacentral:rRNA from 1 species